rnacentral:rRNA from 1 species
UACGUAGGGCGCAAGCGUUGUCCGGAAUUAUUGGGCGUAAAGGGCUCGUAGGCGGCCAACUAAGUCAGACGUGAAAUCCCUCGGCUUAACCGGGGAACUGCGUCUGAUACUGGAUGGCUUGAGUUUGGGAGAGGGAUGCGGAAUUCCAGGUGUAGCGGUGAAAUGCGUAGAUAUCUGGAGGAACACCGGUGGCGAAGGCGGCAUCCUGGACCAACACUGACGCUGAGUGAGCGAAAGCCAGGGGAGCAAACGGG